rnacentral:rRNA from 1 species
UACGUAGGGAGCGAGCGUUAUCCGGAAUUAUUGGGUGUAAAGGGUGCGUAGACGGGAAAGCAAGUUAGUUGUGAAAUCCCUCGGCUUAACUGAGGAACUGCAACUAAAACUACUUUUCUUGAGUGCAGGAGAGGUAAGUGGAAUUCCUAGUGUAGCGGUGAAAUGCGUAGAUAUUAGGAGGAACACCAGUGGCGAAGGCGACUUACUGGACUGUAACUGACGUUGAGGCACGAAAGUGUGGGGAGCAAACGGG